rnacentral:rRNA from 1 species
GAUGAACGCUAGCGGCAGGCCUAACACAUGCAAGUCGAGGGAGAAGCCCUUUCGGGGGCAGUAACCGGCGCUCGGGUGCGUAACGCGUAUGCAACCUACCUUUCACAGGGGGAUAGCCCGAAGAAACUUGGAUUAAUACCCCACAAUAUUAUUGGAUGGCAUCAAUUGAUAAUUAAAACUGCGGUGGUGAAAGAUGGGCAUGCGUUCUCUUAGCUAGUUGGUGUGGUGACGGCACCCCAACGAUACGACAGGUAGGGGUCCUGAGAAGGAGAUCCCCCACACCGGUACCGCGGCACAGACCAGACUGCUACGGAGCGGUGGGGAAAGGAAGAUUAGUCGAUGAUGGGAAGACUAAACCUGCCGCGCGGGGUGAAGGAAGAAUGCCUUAUGGGUUGUCAACUGCUUUGAUAUGAGAACAAGGAGGCGUACGUGUCGGUUGAUGACGGUACCAUAUGAAUAAGCACCGGCUAACUACGUG